rnacentral:rRNA from 1 species
UACGUAGGGUGCGAGCGUUGUCCGGAAUUAUUGGGCGUAAAGAGCUUGUAGGCGGUUUGUCGCGUCUGCCGUGAAAAUCCGGGGCUCAACCCCGGACUUGCGGUGGGUACGGGCAGACUAGAGUGUGGUAGGGGAGACUGGAAUUCCUGGUGUAGCGGUGAAAUGCGCAGAUAUCAGGAGGAACACCGAUGGCGAAGGCAGCGCCCUGGACGAGACCUGACGCUCAGGCACGAAAGCUGGGGGAGCAAACAGG